rnacentral:misc_RNA from 1 species
AUGCAUGUACAGAAAGCAUGUGAAAUCAAAAUAAUGAAGUGGGGAGAAAGUGAGAAGAAGCAUGGAGUGUGCAUUCAGGUCAUGUCAUUAACAUCAACGAUAGAAAGUUUAACCAUCUUAAAAUUAAAAUUCUAGACGUCAGCGGCCACAAAAGAAUAUAAAGUAACAAAUAUUGAAUAAAAAUAGCAUAUAAUCAGCUGACAAUAUGAACAUUGAAA